ensembl:lncRNA
UCUGAAUUAAGAGCGAGCAUUGUCUCUAAGUAUGACCUAAAGAGGGGAGCUUAAACAGCCCCUGGAUAUGCAAUGCAGAUGGCAGCGUUCUCCCUUUCAGCAUGAGGAGCUUGGAGCUCAGUGAGCAAAAAUCAAUGAUGUGCCAUUACUGCCAGCAGAGCUCUUCCAGCUGAUGUGGCCCUCUCUUUACAUGCUGCACGAGUACAGAAUCCCUGUGAAAAGGGACAGACCAUCCUUGAAGGCUGCCAUCGCAGCCCUUACUCAUCGUGGGCUCGGGCUGUCACUGCUGCUCAAGUGAGCUCAGAGAGUUUCCAAAGGUGAUGAAGAAGGCUUGUGUCUAACUUCAUUAGGCCUGGGAAAAGGACAAGUCUUCGCACAAGAUGACCUUUGCCAACACGACCGCCUCAGAGAAGAAUGACCUUUGGCAGAGAAAAAUGACCUUUGGCAGACAAGAAGAGCUAAUUGAAACACCAGGAGACGAUCGGAGCUCUGAAGGGUAACAGAGCAAAAACACCUCUGCUUUUAGAUGCUACCUUCCCCUGCCCUUCUCCUCUGUGCAUCACAGGGGAAAUACAUAAAUGUUUGUUAGAUUUAGUGAGUAGAUGCAUUUCCCUGUUUACAGCUCUACAAAAAUCCUCCAGCCAAGAUAAAACAUUGCCUUGGAGAAACAAGAUUUUUUUGCCUAUUGAUUAUGUUCUUGUGUUUUUCCCAAAGACUCGUAUUAGGUCAUAAUAUAUAAAAGAAAAUAAACCUAUACUAAGCCUCUUAAAAUGGUUUGCUAGCAAGCAAAGCCAUAUCAGAGCUGAGCAAACUCUCCUGUCCAAACUUUAUUCACACUUCUCCAGUCGAAUGGUUUUCUUGUUCUCUGCAAUGUGCUUGCAGACAAAGUUGCAGUGAAGCUGGGAAGUAUUAUUAGCAAGUUUUAUUAUAGCAUCUCGCCUUGAAUGGCUGCAGUGAAGGAAUCCCCACUGGGUGACCCAGGGUGCAGAUGAGUAUAGAAGCUGUGUGAUUCAUUGUGCACAACACAGCAUGAAAUACUUGGAGCAAACCAUUUGUCUGAGGGAGAAAUGGGACUCAGUCUGUCUUCAGGGACCUGUGAUCCAGCUGACAUUUCCUUGGUCCAGGCACUGGAUCUCCAGCAUGUUUCUUCUGCAAAAGAUAAGCAUCUGAAAAAGGAGAUGUAGAAGAGAUUGAUGUAUGGGUGAAGUGUGUAGGAGCAAGCCUACUUUACUCCAGGAUGUGACAUCCCAGUGCAGCAAAUGAAGACAUGGCUGAAAGGCUAAUUUAAAAUCUUCUUCUCCCGUGAGGACUUUCUCCAAAGAAGCCGUCUCCUUGCUGCACCAAACAGAAGCUUGUUGAGUACUCUCAGGAGUCUUCCUUUCCUGUAGGGGCCGAUCCCAUUCCUGCUAACCAACAAGAGACCUGCUAAGCAACAGGACAUGUGGGAUGGGACAGGAGCGGGGAUUGGAGCUCCAGAGGAAGCUCUGGCUGCAGUGUGAGGACGAAACAGAGGCCAGCAGCUCUCCAGAGUCAAUUGGGUGCUACAGAGUUCAAAGAGCAGAGCCAAUGUUUGCAGAUGCAAAGCAGACCUGAUGUUGAUCCCAACCCUUCUAGAUCCUGGUCUGAUAUGAAAAAGAAAAUGAUUUUGUAGUCUUUCAAUUAAACACCUUAUCAAUGAUCUCAAAGCAUCUGCAGCGACUGAGUGCUAAGGAGGAGAAAUUCACUCUGCAUGAGAGAGAUCUUGCGGAGGAGCUUUCGGGAAGUCAUCUACCCUUGACUCAAAGAGAAACAGAGAAUCCAACUUUACUCCAGUUUAUUUUCUGCUUGAAACAUCUGUUGCGUUUUCCCCGUGCUCAUACUUGUAGACCACAAUCAAGUCACCCCUUCGCCUCAUUUCAAGCCGACAAAUUCCACCAACUUUUUAGCCUCCUACCAUAAACUCUUCCAGAUCUCAGAUCGCUCAUGUACCUUUCCAACCUGCCAGCACCUUUCUGAAGCGCGGAUAUGAAGUCAGGACAGAGCGUUCCUGGGGCAGCCCCACACUUUAGUGCACAAAAAUCAAACCAGGUCAUGGCUCCUCCUGUGCAUGCUUGGGACAUUCUGCACAGCAGCACGGUGUGGAGGGCUGACCUGACCUUUUCUGGUUAUUUCCCAUUGCUCCUGCAUCUUUCCAUCUGCCCUGUGAAGCAGAGAAUGGAGUCUUCCUCUUCUCAGAGGGAUUUUUGACCUCCCAGCUCCGUACACCGGAAUGAAAGGGAAGAAAAUGGCUGCCCUGCUCCUUGGACCACUUGGCUGGGGACCAACCCCAGGUUUAAGUUAGAGCCUCCAGGGAGACUCCCCAGCUGCAACAGCACAAAAAGGAUGGAGCUGGGAGCAAGGGUGGAGCCUGCAUUCCUCAAUCUAAAAAGAGACUUUUAGUCUCUUCCUCGCCUCCUUUUCUUUGAAAUGUCUCUCAAGAGAUGGUUAGAGAACAAAGGAAAGGAACGAAUAAAACACAUUAUCAGCAGCUUGCAUAAGUCUUACAGGGAAAGGUGGAAGUUCUCUCAUUUUUUUUUUUUCUCCCUUUCUUUUUCCUCCCUUCCCACAGUGACUCCCAGGGUUCUGGCUGCCUUGGUUCUCUCCCCUCGCAAUACUUUGCAGAUCUGCCCUCAGAGCUGCACGAGAUGCUGACUCCCUUCUCUGUGGGCCUUGCUGCUCAAUGGUUGACAUUUAUUAG